AUGAAAAAGUUUAAUGUGUCAAGAGCGCCGUAUAUGAAGCACGAAACUACACUUAAAAACCAUGAACCACAUUCAUUAAGUAUCGAUCAAAGAGAUAUUUGCCGUACUAUGUGUUUUAAAUUGUAAUGUUAAAAUAUGAAAAAGUUUAAUGUGUCAAGAAAGCCGUAUAUGAAGCACGAAACUACACUUAAAAACCAUGAACCACAUUCAUUAAGUAUCGAUCAAAGAGAUAUUUGCCGUACUAUGUGUUUUAAAUUGUAAUGUUAAAAUGUAAUAAAUUUUAUGAUUUUCUAA